rnacentral:misc_RNA from 1 species
UCGGUUUCUAUCUCCAAUAUUAUUCAUUUCUUAGUACGAAAGGACCAGGAAUGGGAAAUAAUUUUUUUAUAUUGAUUAAUAUUAAACUAUUUUGGCAGAAAAAUGCCAUGAAUUUAGAAUUCAUAAAUGUAAGAUGAUCUUACAGAUAGUAC